UGAACAGGUGUGGGGGCCUCUUGACAAAUUUGAGAAAAGAAAAUGCUACAACGUGUCUGGACUUGACUCCGAGUUAAUUUCAUGCUUAGGAUCCACCCGGUCAACAAACAUUUAUACCAUUAUUGUCGUAUUAGCCUACCAGCAUCCCAACCAAGCUCGCUGAGGUCACCACCAUAGAGCACUUGCUGUUCUUUCGGAGCAAGAACCCGCUUGAUUUUUAGCGAGUUACGUUUCCUUGGAGCGUCUCUUGACAAAUCACUUUUUUUGUUUGUGUGAAAACGUGUAAUUAACCCUUUUCUAACUUGCAAUGCAAAUAUAAAAUGUAUAAUUAAAAACACUCACGUUCAAAUGUAGAAAACAACACAGAUAAAUGUGCAGUAAUCUCUUGCCACUUUGUGCUUAGAAUUUGGGGCUUCACUCUAUCACGUUUUUUACAAUAUACAGUCCAGUAUAUUAAUUAAAUCAUGCUAUUUCGUGGUUGAAUACGGCCUAUUAGUCCAAAUAUUUAAGCAAGUUGUACGUACUUCCUACCUAAGUUGAACACUUUCAAGUAUAAAAAUGGCUAAAUGAACUAAAAUAAGAAUAUAACGAAAUCAGAAGACACAUUCAAAGACACUGGGAUGAUAUGUAGUACUCUACAUUGCUCACUGGGUGUCAGUAAUGUUGCUGUAAUGUUCAGUGGGCGACACAAGCGCCAGACCUGAUCGCUGGAACAACAGGCUUUUAUUGCAGGUUUGAAGUAGGGCUGGCGAUAUAUCGAUGUUUUAAAAAUAUCAAUAUUUACUUUAAGCGCGAUAUCAAAACCAACCAUAUUGUUGAUAUCGAUACAGACUGUAUUUGCGCUGUAUCUCCUUCAUCCCUGCAUGAUUGAGGAGGGAGGAGGGGCGGAGCAGAAGCCCGGCGGCUCUUGUCAAAGCGACAGCUUCUGCGGUGGAACAAUUAGUCAGCAAGGAAUAAGCGGUAGCUCAGUAAUGUGGAGGUACUUCGAAUUCAGAGCAUAACAGUUUUUUUCACCACCUUAAAACUUGGCACAAACUCCAAUACAAGGAAUGUGUGACGCUGCGUGCUGUCUGCCACGCUCCUGUUGCGUUCCUCAUGAAAGGAAAAGCAAAGUGGUGUGCUAUUAUAAAGAGCUUUCCCAUCACAUUGCUAAGAUAUGGUCCCUGUUGCAACAAUGAAAUAAAAACCUGCUGAAAACAAUGGACUCGUAAUGUUGCGGUCACAGUUAUUUAGCACUUGACAUGCGAAGUAUCUGUUUGCUCUCCCGGUUUGGUUUCGUCAUUAUCAAAACGUAUUAUCAUAAACCCACCACACCACGGUCUCCUGUUCAGGUUCUCUGUUCAGCGCGUCAUCAAGAUGGACCCUCCAUCCCGACCCUCUCGGCGGCAAAAGAUACAAGGAGGCCACAUUACUUGCUAGUUGCUGCACCAUCCUUUCAAAUGGCUGCUCUGAUCAGGAAGAUUAUCAGCACAAAAAAGCCCCUGCUGCCGUAGGGUGUACUAUUUCAACACCUAAUUGAAGAUACCGUACCACAUUCAUUUGCUGAGGAAUUUGCAUAGUGUCCCUCACCUUAGGGUGCAAAGUGCAGGUUUGGAUUGCACUAUUUUUAAAAUAAAUAAUAAAACAAAUAAUUCAUCAUGGCAAGCUAUACCACCCUCUGUUCAUCCUGAUUUUGUAUUGCAUUUUUAACUCAUUUUUUGUAGUCAUUGAUAAUUUAUUCUUAAGUAUGUCAGCAUUAUUAAUAAUUCAUACCCGAUUCCUUGACAAAAAACAACAGGAAUCUAGGAAACUUCACCUGCGCUGUCCAGUAUCCAGGUCUUUAUUUCACAGACACACUGGUUGAAUUUUUGGCGAAAAAGUUACUGAAUCAAUUUAAAGUUACUGAAUCGUUUUGGAUCGUAUCAUUCUAAAUGAACCAAAAUCGUUCUUGAAUCGUAUCGACAACCACGAAUCGUGAUACGAAUCGAAUCGUUAUUAAAACUAAUUGUUACACCCCUAACACAUUUACUGUAUACUGUAUGUAUGUGUAUAUACAUAUACAUACAGUAUGUGUGAAUCUCACAGACUCUUUGAUGUCUCAAACCUGCGGUCCUGGUUUGUCUUGAGGCUAAGAACAGAGACACUUUCACUUGAUUGUCAUGCUAAUCUCUUGUGGACCGUCCAGAAUGUCUCGUCCUGGCUGUCACACCUGACUAAACACACAGUAUGUUGACUAAUAUGAUGACAUUGACAAGGCGUUGGAAGUUUCCCCUCGUUUUAGAAUCUCCAAGAAGUGAUGUCUGCUGAUCUCCUAUGUUUGAUUGACGUGUUUUGGGUCUAGAGUUAGAAGUUGUAGUUGUAGUGACAUACUUGUUCGCAGGGCCUCCUCAAAGGCAAAGAAGCAGUAAUGUGAUCCAGAGCAGCUGAUUGUGUUACGCUGCAUGUGCCCUCUUUCAUGAUACGCAUACACACACACACACAAUAAGGGAAACAAAAAAGGCAGGGGUCUGAGGCUCAGACCGAUGUGGACAUGUGGAAAGAACAAUGUGAUGCCCCCAGGAGACAUCCAUCUCGUGUAGGUGCUCAGGUGCAGGUAUGUUGCAUCUUGUCCACGUGCUAUGUUCUUGCCGCAAAUGACGACUCAUUGCUAAGCUUUGGAAACGGAGAAGAGUAUUUUUAACACAGUCGGCAGUUUUGAGGGAAAUGAAACUUCAGGUUGCAUUUGUAGUGUAUUUAGUGGUCAUGUAAGCGUAAAAAGAAGUUUGACAACUGUUGUUCAUAGUAUAGAAAAUGUUAAGUGCCAUUUAGUACCAUUGCAGCCUCUUUGGAUGACAAUGUGUACACAUUAUAAUAUAUUUUUAGUAUAUAAAUUAUAAUAGAAGCAUUUGAAAACCGCUUCCAGGUUGCAAAGACUAUUCCUUUGGCUGCUGGCGUAUGCGGAAUUGAUUCCCGAUUUUCGGAAGUGUGCGCUCACUGAGUAGUUGCUCUGUGUAGCUGUUGUAUUAUUCUUUUUCUCCACUCUUAUUCUUCUAAUCAUAACUGGUUACUCUCCACUGUAAAGUGGUUCAAGAUAGAUUUCUGCUGAAGUGUACUAAGUACUUAUUCUGUUGUUUUGCUACUUUACAGUCAUGCGAGCUGAGCGGUUAGCAUGGUUUCUCUGUGGUUACUCUGUCUCCUCCUGCUCUCUCUUGCUUGGUAUGUCGCAUUCUUAGCUAGUCCUCGUUCUCCACUCCUCCAGCGAUAAUGAUACUUAAAAAACAAAGUAUCAGCACCAGGAAAGGAUAUACUUCAGCCACGCAGCUUGUUCCAGCUUGUCGCUCUUAAUUUUGCAGGACGCGGCGGGACUAUUCCAUCACAAUGAACUACUGCGAUAGAAUUUCAAUAUCAAUUGGAGGCCAUGGUUUCAAUGGCAUAUCGUUUAUAUCGCCCAGUCCUAUAUCUCGUCCGAGGUGUAGGGCCUCUGGAGACUCUCUUUACAGGACAAAAAUUCAACAAGGCACGACUAAUCAAUUUUACGCCAUAUCAAACUGUUACACUCGUAACAUUUACCGUCUUUAUCAUUAAAAGUGCUUAAAAAGCAGACAUCCUUAUAAAGCCUGCCAUGCUCAAAUCCAAUGCUCUAUUUCCUAGUAUCGAUUCAAUCGGUUGAUUACCUUUUAAACGAUGUUGGAGUGAUAAAUGUCGUCCCGAAUGGAAACUUGUUGAACACAGAUCGAUGUAGCUGAAUCGUAGGAAUAUAAAUCCAUGCAUCGACGUAGUGGAUGUAUCUUUACAACCCUACUGAUUAUAUCUACUACAUUGCAUAAUGUGAGUGUAAAGGUGAUUUAGGGGUGUUAUUUCACGUCCAGAGGGCUCUAAUAAUGUUUAAAAAAAUGAUUUAUACGGUUGUAAACAGAUUUUCUAUGCUCUAACUACGAAAAUAUUCAUUUAUAAGUAAGGAAUCCUACUUUGCUGAAAUUCACUUUUCACAGUCGGGUCUGGCACCAAUUAACCACGAUAAACUUGGGAUUUGGGAAUGGGAAUGUGAGCGAGGUUGAGCAAAUAGCUCCAAAUCCUAAAAAAAGAAAGAAAAAGAUAGUGGCAAGUAUCUGUGGUGGUCAAUUUGUAAUUUGUGGCAGCCGUCACAGAUACAUGAAUGUAUGGGAAACCCUGCAUUACUAUUACGCAUUUUUUUCGCCGGCUUAUGUCGGAUUUUCCAUCACUGAAAACUUUUUUGUGAAAAUACUAAAACGUGGGAAAAUGUAUUUUCUGGUCUUGUUUUAAUUCUUAUUUCAUUGUUCCUUGACAUUCAUCAUCACAUUCAAGUCCAUCAUCCAUCCAUACAUCCAUACAUAUAAUAUCCUCCACUUAUUCCGAUCUGGAUCUGGAUCUGAAUCUGGAUCUGGGUCACAGGGAAACCCGGACUUCCUCUUUCCUUCCCCAACUAUCCUUCCAUGACAAAUAAGGAUGUAAAGUCAGGUCCCCGCUGUUCAUUGUGUGUGUGAAAGUCAUUUCCUGUCCGUGCUUUGUCAAAUAAUGUAACUUAACCACAUUCAUACUCAAUUUCUUGUCAGUAGAAGUAAGUUACUAUCUCUUUUUCACUCAAUACAGUACAUACAGUGUAAAUGAUGGUCACCUUUUUUGCUUUGGGCUCUGUUUCCUCUGGAUCCCUCUGGUGGACAGAGGCAGCAUUGCAAUGCCAUUUUUUAUGCUCUCUAUGCUCCUCCGAUGCAAUGGUUUUCUCAAACGUUAUGUGCAUUAUGGGAAUACUUUAAAACACUUUAACUUGUUUUUUUUUUUUAAAUAUAAAACUCGUAUUGAUACAUGUUUCUAUAUUUCUGAGGUUAAGUUGCUGCGUGAUGAGUAUAAUGUUGUUUGUAAGAUGAAACUGUGAGUCAGACUGUUAUAUUGAGUAAUGACCUGCAAUUUCCAGUGGGUUGACAACUCGUCGUCAGUUUAUUUAUAGCUCAUAAUUGGCUCCUGUCAAAUAAAUAGCUGACUGGUCCUCACAGACUUUUGUUUGCUACAUUAUGCCACUUUAUGACGUGGACAUGUGCAGCUUUAUAUAAGAAUAAAUCUGUGUUUUCUUUUAAAUUUAGUGGGUGCGGCUUAUACACCGAAAUUUACUUAGCAAGUUGAUUUUGGUGUGCACCUCUAAAUUUUCAGAUUGCGCUCCAAAAAUUUUAAGUUGGGGGCCACUGUACUCCUAGAUUAAAAAAAAAAAAAAAAAAAAGUUCAUCUGGAGCCCUGCUUAACAGUUCAUUCAUCCCUUUUAUUCAUCAUUUAUAUGCAUUUAGAAUUGUUUUAGGCACAUAAAACUAUAAUUGUGAAACUCUAAUGUUUUGUGUUAACAUUUUUGAGAGUCAACUACUGAUGACUUCAUAGACUGACGACAUUUUGUAAGCUAGCUAAUAGGAUGCUAACAAGGAAGGACGUUUUGUGAUUUAAAAAAAAUUAAAUUAAGAAAACAGUUGGACUCACGCAGUUUUCAAUCCACACCAAAAUGCAAAAGCUGUAAGUAAUCCUACAAAGAAAAUCUCCAAUGAUUUACAUUAAAAGUUUUUUUUUCCCCAUUUUUAGCGACUAACGUGUAUCUUGGUUUAAUGUGAGAUUUUGUAAUGAUUGGACAAAAAGUGUAGCUAUAUAAAGUAAAGAUAUUUUUAGGUUUAACUGUUUGUCAUUGUCAGAAUGAAUGAUUCGUGUCUUAUCAGUUAGUUAACGUGCAACCGGUGUGAAGGACACACACACAGACAGUAAGUGUGGGAGAAAAAAACACUUCAUUUUUUUCUGCUAUCUAAAACAAUAGAAAAAAAAUCUACAUCAUUAAAUACAUACAAUCAACUAUAUCAAUAUUUAUUAUUUUUCUAGUUUAUUGUUUUGAAAGUCCAUCAGUGUUAUCUAAAAUCUGACUCUUUUCAGAAGUUAUUCCAAACAUUGUAACGUAAGUGCAUUGUGGUACUUCCAAAUAUUGAAAUGAGAUGUGAGCAUGCCAUAUGAAGUGGCGCAGAAAGGACACCCAAGCAACUUGGGGGUGGAAAAAACAGGAAAUACUUUGGGAAAUGAUGAAGUUUAUUUUCAGUGGUUUCCCACAUAAGUUGAGCGCAUUUAUCACGGUUGAAUCGUGCUGGUGAGAACUUGGAAGGAGCUGGAAGCUUGUUCUGAGCGUCGCGUGGAACCGUGUCAGCAUGGGACACUGUUUCUUGAUUAAUUAUCGAUGACUGGUUUUGUUUGGAGGCCAAAGUGAAAAGACACUUCCCAUCUCCACUGGCAUUCAUCAUUUGCUGAAAACCUUUUUUUAUGCAGAAUAAAAGUAGAAUAAAUGAAGACUAAUCCUUGCCAGUGGUGCUGUUGACUAUUUUUAGAUCGUAGCGUGUUCAACUGUCAAGCGGCCGCCUGCUCUGAUCCGAUACAAAGCUUUCUUUCAAUGGUGCCAUUGUUGGACACCAGGCUCGCCGUCGUUGAGCCUUUCUCAGGUUUCUGUCUCUUCUAAACGCUCCCUCUCUUUUUUUGGAGAACCGUUGAAAUAUUGAGCAAGAGGACUCGUGAUGUCCGAUGACCAUCCAAAAAAUGCAAAGUGCAGUCUGGGGUCAAUUUGCGGCCCCUAGCUCUUUUUUUUUUUUUUUUCUUUUGGUCCGUGUCACAAGAAAGCUACAAAAAACAGCAAAAAUGGGGGAAAAGAAACAAAACAGGUGUAAUGUAAUGAGAAAUGUUGGUACUAAUAUUAAUAUGCUUUGUCACCUAUAACUAGGGAUGUUGGCUGGCUGAUAUUGGCUGAAAAAUGAGAUAUCAUUAUAAAUCUUUCUGCCAAUAUUGAUAUAAAUAUUUAUAUAGAUAGCUAGUAAGACCUCAUCAAACUGUAGCCGCAACAAUUGAUGAAUCGAUGAUUAUUCAAUUAUGCAAUUAAACAACAACUAUUUUGGUAUACAUGAUUGUUUUUUGAUGUAAAAAUGUAAAUGUAAAUGUCGUCUGAUUUCAGCCACUCUAGUGUGAUGUGUUUUUUGUUUUUUUUUUGUUAUCCAUGAAAGCAGACCUAUUAUUGUGUUUUAGGCAAAACAAGAUAUUCACACAUAUCAGCUUUGAUUAUGGAAAACUGUGAUCGAUAUUUUUGCUUCGUUUCUGAUAAGUUGUGGACCAAGUCACUAACUAUUUGUGUUUGGAUAAUAUUGAUUAGAAUAUUGAACGAAUUACUCGAGUAAUCAAAACGGCAAGCUUCAUAUUAAUCGAUUUAAGAAAAUAAUGGUAAAUUGUAGGGAUGUCCCAAUCGACAUUUUUUGGCAGAUUUUUUUUUUAGAAAUCCGAUCCAGUACGAAUCUUUUUUUUUUUUGGAUAAACUUUUGCUACAAACAUGAAUUGUGGAACUGAAUGUGGUUGUGAAAAUACCUCUUCAAAACAUUAAAAAUAAUGCAACCAAAGUAACUUUUUUGUUACACAGCAUGACCAACAAUAUUUUUUGUCUUGUGUAACAAACCUCUAUGAGUCAGGUCCCUAAUCCAAUAAAAGAUCAAAUUGGACAAAAUGGGUGUGCAAAAUACUUUUACAUUUGACUUGGUUAUAGCUCAAUUUUUGGUCUGAUUUUGAAUACAUUGCUUCUUUUUUUUUUUUUUUAAACAAACUCUCAACGCAAUACUAAUUUAUUGACGGUCCCUAGUUUAAACAGCCAGAGGUUAGAGCAGCACUUCCCGUCCGUGUGGAGUAAGAGUUUUUUUCACUUGGGUGGCCAAGGUGAGACCAUUACUCACAUAGGGGUGCCAAUAGGUUAAUACCUGAAAUGUUGUCGUUGGUGUUCGCCGGCUUCUUCUUCAUUGGUGUUAUGCGGCCAUUUUUUACGGUCGGCGGGCUGGUCGAUCACUGAAAGUAGGUAUAUAAAUCUAAAAGAACUGUCGGGGGUUUCGUGAUAGGCAGGGAGGACUUUCAAGAUCAGUGCAGACCUGCUGACAUGUAUGAAGUUGUCGUACUCGGCAUGCAGUUUGGCUAUUGAUUAUGCUUGUAUGCUUCACUGCUCUCCAUUUUGUUGCAUUUCUCUGGUUUCACGUUCAAGUUCUGUCUCUACAGUAUAGAUAAAUAAAUAGAUAUCAGUUUCUUAAUAGUAUUUCAAAUGGGGUAGAUAGAAAGCAGGGCUCCAGGUGAUAGAAAGUCACACAGUUCCUAUUGAAGAAAGUAUUUUCUUUUGGAUUUUCCACCUGAAAGUCUGUCAUGUAUUUAUAAACAUCAUCAUUAAUCCUGCUAACUCGCUAGCUAACUUAGCUUCCGAGGCAGCGAGACAGUCGAUUCUGACGCAUCAGCAAAAGAGGGAAUGUAGAAGAAGUGUUGCUGCAGUUGUGACCUUCUGACUGCUUUUCUGGCCUCUGACUUUUCCUUCCUCAAAGACUUGCAGAGCAACCGUCAAGCCUCCUUAGAGCCAUUGCUACAAUAGCAUGAGGACUAGUAUUUAGUGGGGUGUCUGAACAAGUGAAGACUGUGCGUGACAAUCCAACUAGUCAUGAACCCGCGGGGGGCCCACAGUGAAAGUGGACGGCGAUAAUGUGCACACUGUCGCGUCCCCUGUGGGACGUCCUUGUCCUUCCUUAAAGCGUUCCCUUCUGUUUAUUUUACUCUCAGUGGGGGCUGCAAUUCACUAAAUGUGUAGGCGAAGACCUGAAACCAGCAAUUGAGACCAUGAACAUGUUUGGGAAAAUGUCUGCAGAGGUCGUAAAUCAUGUAAGCACAUUGGCAAUGGCUCCUUCCAAUGGCUGUGUGUUGCCCCCUGUUGGCUAGCAAGCAUAUAGUUCGUAAGCGUGAGAAUGUGGAGCAGCAAAUGACAAGAUGCUCUUUUGUUGGUUCAUAGAGCUUGUAGUGACUAGAGAGCGGUACAUUUCACAUUUGAACCUCGUAUAAAAUUUUUGGUACUUUUGUGAGUGUUUAUGUGGUAAUAAUGUACUAUGUACUGUAAUGUACUAUGUACUGUAUGCUAAUGUACUAAUGAAAUUUUUUUUUCAAUUUAAGAUAUUUAUCUCUCGCUAUACAGUGGCACCUCGGUUAACGUCCACUCCGUUUAGCAUGUUUUUCGGUUAACAUCCAAAAUUUUUGCUAAAAUUUUCCUUGGCUUGCUUUUGCCUGCUUGGUUAGCGUGUAAUCGGUUGGCGUAACAAGCUACCGUAUCUGUGCUUGGUUUGUUUACGCAGCGAUCUUGGAUCACACCCCAAGGCAAAAUCUCACGAUACUUAUUUCACCCUUAGCUACGGCAGCCUGUAAGGCACAUACAGUACAUGUAAUGCAAUGUAGUGGCCAAAACAAUAGACCCUUGCGUUGAUGACACGACUGUCCAUGCAUUUUUUCAGCGAAUGCGACAAACUCAAAAUAAGCCGCUAUGAGUCCAAAGGAGCUUGCGAGUGACAUCGACAUUCCAAAGAGAGUGAAUACCACUGUUGAAUUAAAGAAAGAAGAAUAACAUUCAUGUUGCCGCUGUUGGCAGGAUGUACUGGAAACUGUCAACAACAACAAGUACCGCACUCAAGAAUAACAACGUAAUCAAGUGAGCUAAUGUUGCGAAAGGAGUAACAGUGUUAACAAAAUAGACACCACAAACCAUGGAAGGUGUUCAGAGGUUCCUGCUGUUGUGGCUCAACGGCUCCCGGAAGCUCGCCGGAGCUAACCUGUUGUCAACGCAAGGCUGCUGGAUCUACACAGAAAUUCACAUUUCAAAAAGACUCAGUUCUCCGCAGUAAACGGACCGGCAACACAGACGGCAAUGAAUACAAAAGUCAAAAACCCAGACGACGUUCAGCCAUGGAAAAGCGUGCCAUGGUGACAGUAAGUGAAUCCACGUUUUUGUGCUAUAUAUCUUCUACCAAUGUUAGAUUAAUAUGUGUUUUCAUGUCAAAUUUCAAUGCUAGCACAGCAUGCUAGUCUUGUAAGUAGCAUACUUUUCUGGUCUUGUAACUUAUAGUCUGCAUAUAUCUCUGUGCAAUCACAGCCAUUAAAACAACAUUCGUGUUUAUUAUUGUUAUUAAUGUGUUUUUGUGUGUUAUAUCAGAUGCCCGAUGAACUGCUUUGUCACCAAGUGGAGACGGCUCUGGCUUUGCAAACUGCUACAGUGCCAGCCGACAGUGCUUGCGUUGAAAAACAAUUGUAGACAUGUAUACGCUUGAAGAUGCACACAGGGAUGCUGCAACCCAGGUACCAAGGAUGGCCAACAGGUGUACAGUGUGCAUUUUCCCAAAUACAGGAAAAAUGACUACAUCGUCAGGAAGAUUUUGGAAAAUGCCACUCUUGACUAUGUCAAGGAACGUAUGGCGAGCGUUGAAGACGUUUGUUGCAGCAAGGACUAUGAUGGAGACUACUUCAAGGACCUGUUGUGUGUUCAACAUGCACACUUGCCAUUGACUGCUGAAUGCUAUCAAAAAAGAUGCUGUGAGAGCGCAUGUCAAUUGUUUCAUGAAUGGAACAUAAAAAAACAAAUGGGGACAUAAAAAACAUUUGAUGCUGAGCAUGUGCAAUCAACUUCCAAAACAUAAAAACAGAACUCUAAAGAAGGUCUUUAGCAGCCAUUUACCAAACGGCGGACCUCGGUCCAGAUCCAGACCCGGUGAUGGCCCUUUCCGGACCCGUGACCAAUUAAAUUGAAUGGGGAAAUAUACAGUAAUAACAUAUAAUCACGCUUGCAAACGGAUCGCAGUGGCAGUUUGCGGGCGUAAUUACAUCAGUUAUUACGGAUAACGUGACAGCAAACGGGGUCACUCAAAAUGAGCCAACGAAAUCGUUUGUUGACCUGCCAAGUGAAUGACAACCUUCCAUCCAUCCAUUUUGUAUGCCGCUUAAUCUUUGAAUGAGAACCAUGGCUUUCUCAAAAGUAGGCCUGACACGAUAAUCGAUAAAACAAUUAAUCGAACGAUUAAAAAAAAAACGAGGUUGAUAAUUUUAACGCCUCGAUAAAUUGACAUGUGUGACAUGUAUAUAAGCCUGUUCCAUUUCCUCGUCUUGCUGAAGCCCACGGGCUGAAUGACGAGGGUUCACUCUGCUUGUGUCUGAGCGCAUUGGUUGUAUCGUAAAAUUAAGGGAAAGAGUGAGCCUCCUGUCAGCUAUUCAGCGUCUUUGUCACAGUACGUGGAGGCGGGGGCUAGCUACGUAGUGAUUGAAUACACUGUGCUAGCUAGCAGUUAGCAAGCAAAUGCUAAUAUGAAUGGGGCGUUUGAUCGGUGAAGUGAAUGUAUAGUUGAUGUGCCUGCUCACGCAACAGUAAUUAUUGCACGUUGUGGCUCAAAAUCAGCCUUUACUACCUCAAAAUUAAGCCACAGAUAUAACUCCAUAGAUGUGCGCCUCCAAAAAAUGCUGCUCAUUAGGACUGACUGUUGUAAAGCAGCCCCUCUCCCUUCAAACACCAUCGCUUCGCUCACAUACAACACUGAGCCAACAAGCCAAAGAAAUUUGUAGUUUGCUCAAUAGAGCCCACGCCACAAGCCCGACCCUGACGAUCCACAAAAGCAGGUGUGCCCAAAGUGCGGCCCAUGUCUCAUUUGUCACCCCUAGUCGUAACUACGUUCAUUAGAAGUCUUUACAAUUAAAAAGCGGUGAUAACUAGUUUGUGUUUUUCAAUGCUUUGGAAGUUUUUGUCUUUUUUUGCACACAUAUGAGAUAAGUAUGCUUUAACAGGACCAACAAAAACAACUGGUGCUAAUUUGCUAAAGUUGCUCAGGGCUUGAGUUUCCUGUCAGGCUUCUUUAAUCUGCACUCAAGUGAACCUGACACUUCCAAAAUGUGCACAUCUGCAGGGAAAAGUUCUGGUCACACACACACACACUUGUGUGGUGGUUUGCACAAGUCACGUAGCACUUUACAGUUUCCACCCCUCGCUGCCCCGGUGUUAUUACACGGGAAUGAAAGACUGCUUUGUGCUUUAUUUCAACGUCGCUUGGAGCCGCCGUGCAGCUCACGUGCGCUGUUUUUGUGCUUUGGACGCGCAUGUAUGAUGCUCGGUGACCCGCCAGUGGUGGGAAAUGUCCGUCAGGUCAAGGCGGACAUAUUGUGGUAUUUAAAGAUGAUUGCUCACCUUCCGACGGAAGCUGUUUCUAAUAGUUAGCUUUGCUACUACAAAUAAACAUUUUGGUAAUAUAUGAAAAGUGAGCAUGAUUAUCUUUGUAAAGGCAGAAUACUGGAUGUAACUUAUGAAUUGUCCAGGAAGUAAAAAAAAAAAAAAAAAAAAGACAUGUUGAGUGUUGGUAAAUCCUGUGUUAGUUGUUCAAGCUGUUGCUAAUUCAGAUCACCCGCUGGGAGGAUCAACACACAUCCACACACAUUGAAUUAGUUUGCAUUAAUCUGCACAAGAUAAGAGACACUUUGUCUAAAUUUGAGGAUGUCCUCCAUCUGGCUUCCUAAACGCCUCCUAAUCCUCUAUCUACAAUCUUAAUUAUUCCCUUUCAUCUUUUGUGUGCCAUUUUUUAGAGAAAAGGGGAGAAAAGUGUUGCCCGAGGACUGACGGCAGCCUGCAAACCUGUGCUGGGGUCUACAUUUGCAUUGAGCUUUUCUUAGGACCCCAAGGGUACCUUUUGGUAUCUUGAGCUAAUUUCUGUUGGGGUUUUGAACUCAACUGUGCAACUCUGUGUGUGGCUCUUUGUUCAACGCACAGUGAGCUUGAAAAUGAAUAUUUUUACGUAUAUAUGUUGGCCUUGUUUUUGGUCAUAAAAAAGUGAGCAAUUUUUUUAGUAUUGUGUGUAGGCCAAGGGUGUCCAAAGUGCAGACCAAGGUCCAUUUGUGGCCCGCAGCAUAGUGUUACGGUGAAAAAGUCGAAAUGUUCAGCUUUUCCCAUACGCUCAUCCAUUGUGGUGGGAGUUGUCAACUCAGCGACUUUGUUGCUAUAUUUAGCGACUAAUCAGACCCCUCUAGAUAAUUUUUUUCAAAAAAAGUGGCUAGCAACAAAUAUAGUGAUUCUUUUGGAGACUGACACGUAUCUCUCUUCUCAACGAGCAGCGGGUGCUGCUGUAGGUCCCUCAUCCAUCUAAAAGCACUCACAGGCGGCUCAGUUUUGUUUGUGACAAAAACACAAAAAGAAGCAACGGAAGAAAGUUCAUUUGUAUUCCUAGUAGGGGUGUCACAAGAUCUCACGUGAUUAAGACGUGACAAGAUAUCUCGUUCAGAAAAAUAAUGGACACUUGGCCCGGGACGAUUAAUAAAUGAAUCAAUCACUCAAUAAAUGAUAAAACUCUUAUUUUGACAGCUUCAGUAUAUUGCCAUUUGCAUGCGUGUCUGUUUUCCUUGUCUCUCGCCUCCAAACAGGCAGAAAGAGUUCACUCUGUGCAUUGGUUUCGGCACCUUGAUGUGUUUGUCCCAAGGAACGGCGGCAUGAACGGAGUGAGCCCUUUUGUCCGUCAUACAGUCUUUGUCUCGGUGGGUGGAGGCGGGGCUGGUAGAAUACACACAGUGCAGCAGAGUAAUGUAGUAGACGUUAAAUUAGUAGAUUGCAAUAUAUUGUCAUAUAUUUUCAUUGUGCUUUUCUUAAAAGUAAUGCAAAUAUGAUGAUUGCGUCAUUAUGUCACCCACCCUUAAUAGAUUGCAGUCCUUUGGGAAACACUAUAUACUAUAUGUUGGCCUUUUUCCACACACAAAUAGUUUUAGCUCAUAAAGUUGUGGUUUAACAUUGCGGGUAGGCCUGGUGUGUCCAAACUGUGGGCCAAGGGUAAUUAAAUUAAACAAUAAAAGGGAAAAAAAAGUAUAAUGUCACGAGAAAAAGCAUAAAUGUUGAUACUAAUGAUACUCAUAUGAAGUAAGGGGUACACACCAUGCAGAAAAAGUCAUAAUAAAUUCAUUUUUAAUGAUUGUAUAAUGGAGUGGAGAAUGUGUGGAGAAUAAAGAUAUUUUAUGGGGUGAUCCAAAUGUUGGCAAUAAUGCUCUGUUCAGUGGUUGCAAUUCACCAUUAAAAAGGAGAGAAGGUAAAUGUUGUGAUUAUCAUUUUUGAUAAGGGUACAACGAUAGCACCACACUGUCAAAAUUCACGCGCAGUGUACAUACUGUAGUAUACUUAGUGAAGUGUACUGACACAAGUAUUCCAUUUGAGACACAGCUUGUGUCUUGUCUAGAAAUUACUUUCUUCAGGCUUCUUAUUGGCUGAGGUGGUUGUUACAUCGCCACCUGUUGCUUUGGCACGCGCUAGACAGCCUGUGGAUGUCCCUUUUGUGUGGAUGUUUAAAAAUACAGUGUACAGUUCCGAUAUUGAAGAACAAAUAAAACAAAUGGAAAAAAAUGAGGUACAUUUGCAUUAGUAAAAAGUGUGUAUAUAUUUAAAAAAUUAGCAACAAAAUAUUUUUUCUAUGUCACAUCAGCUACUUCAUACUUAAUCCUAAAGAAAAGUUCGGAGAGGUCCACAGUUGUCGCUCAUACAUAUAUUUUUAAAAAGUGCGGUUUUGGCCAAGUCUUAGCUGACAGUCUUUGGUGUGGGGAAGAAAAAAAGUUUCUGGCCUAGUCUCCAAGACUGUCUGGCUCUUCUACACCAGUGCUCAAGACCGAAUGCUGACUGCCCGUGUCGGAGCUGUCAGAGUUGUCUGCGUCAUUUGCGUUGUCCACCUCCAUGUAGUCCAGCAGAAGAUCUCGCAGCGAGAUGUCGUUGUCAGUGAUGCUUUGUGAGGCCUUGAACUGUUAGGCAAGAAGUCACACAUUAGCCGUGUUUCCAAUUUGUGUGGUGUGAAUCAUGAUGUGUGUUGGUGAGCAGUGUCCAAACAAACUGAAAAUCAGAGGAUGCUGGGAGCCACUUUGAUAUUUUGGCUAAAACCAAUGUAGUUUCUCACGAUAGUGAGUACACCUCUCAUAUUUCUGCCAUUAUUUUCUAUGCAUGCAUACAGUACAUACAUAGCACCUCAUGGCAAAGAGCUCUCUGGGGAUAUGAACAAAGAGAAAUGUUGCUCUACA